GGGAGCACAGCAGAGGGAUCCCUUACUUCUGCCUUGGGCAUGGAUGGUGUUAGGGAAGAAUAACCUUGGAGUUGAAUGUUGUAGGACAAUUAGGAGUUUUCCAGGCAGACCAACAGUUGCGAGAGGUGGGAGGGUGGAAAGCAAUGCAGAGGAAACCACCUGUGCAAAGGAUGGAGGUUCUGAAAAUUAGAUGUCAUAGUAGGACCAUGCGAAAGGAUUGGAUGCAUUUGAGCAAAAGUUAUAAGAGGCUAGAAAUGCAGACCGAGUCCUACACCUGUGGAUGGGAGAAGCGGAGCAGGGAGAUGGUGAGGUUCCUGCUCAUAGUCAAGAAAUGGGGAGAGAGGAAACCAAGCGGCAGAGGGGACAUGUUUAGAGAGGUUCUGAGGAAGGAUGGAUGGGAUCUGCUGCCAAACUGGAUUAGGGGAAGAGUAGAGGACAGUUCCCACUCUCCUUGGGUUGGAAGACAGAUUGUCUUGUCGUUAAUCAAUUCUGAGGAUACUAGGGGAGGGUUGCAGUGAGAGAGUCAUGAAUUCGGUUUUGGCAAGGUUGAAUGUGAGCUGCCUCAAGUUCAUCCACGUGGAGAUGUGCAGCAGACAGUGGGAAAUACUGGUCUGGAGCCCAGGAGAGAGGCCUUAGCUGGAUGUCUAGAUUUCACAGCAUGUCAGGGUUAUCUUUAUAGAUAUUUCUUAGGGGGGAAUUAGCCUCACGAGAGGGUUCUCCUACUAGAGAAAGAGAGAGAAAGUGGCUUAUCUGAUUGGUUGGCUUGGGGAAAGAACUGGGCAUGCGCAGCCCAGCCCCUGGGGGUUCACCUCCUCUUGAUCUGUCUCCCCACGUGCUGAGUGGCUCCCCUGGGAUUGCGGUGGGUUGGUCUGUAGAGUGAGCCACUUGGAACAGACCCAAAGUCAUAGUCUCAAAUCAGCUUUAUCAGUAAUAAAGCAAACGUUUUGAUCUCCAUGUCUCCUACAAACUCAGGAGGGAAAAAGUGUUGUUUAUCAAAACCACUGCCAAACUCCAAAGAAUAUUACUGUAAGUUUUUGGGUUUUUUUUUUUUUUUAAAUCGGCACCUGAGCUAAGAUCUGUUGCCAGUCUUCUUUUUUUUCUUCUUCUUCUCCUCCUCAAAGCCUCCCCAGCACAUAGUUGUAUAUAUAGUUGUAUAUUCUAGUUGUACGUCCUUCUGGUUGUGCUGUGUGGGACGCCGCCUCAGCAGGGCUUGAUGAGCGGUGCCAUGUCGGUGCCCAGGAUCUGAACCAGCGAAACCCCGGGCCACUGAAGUGGAGCAUGUGAACUUAACCACUCGGCCAUGGGACCGGCCCCUUAAUCAAGGCUACUGGACAUGAAGGGACCAUGUGGCAGACGAGGAAACAUCUCAGCAAUUAUCAGCCAGAACCAAAGACCAAUGGCUCUGCCUGUGGGGGCCUCCCAAGAGGAGCCGACCUUGGCACAACCCUGGGUGGAAGAGCCUGCUUCCUGGGGAGCUCAGCCCGAGAUGCUCAGAAUCAAUCAUCCAGUGGCUUUCGGGAAAGGUCAAAGGAUCUUUGGGAAAUUGGACACAGAACAAAUAAGCUAGACCUCUGAAAGCCACAACCACCACCAGAUGAACCAAUCCUACCUGUGUUUGCAUAAGCCCAGCUCAUCAUAUCCCUUUUAACAAAAUAACUUGGAAAGGAAGAGAAUGUGGUGUGCAUGGCCCAUGAUCGUGUCCAUGGCUCUGGAGCAUCCCUCACGUGAAAGCAGCUUCAUUUCUUGGCCAAGCAGACCUGAGCUUGGGCUCCCUGUCUGUGCUGUGACCUCACCCUGCUGAGCCAAAUGUACAGUGACUCAUGAGUCAUCGGGCUCAAUCAAAAUUUCCUCUUAGCUACGUACCCCGCCCCCACCUCAGGACAGUGGUUAUCUCCGCCUCCCCCUUGUGGAGCAUGGCUGCUGAGUGGGAGAAAGGAGGGAAGGAGAAAACGAGUCAAUCAAGAAACG
rnacentral:lncRNA from 1 species